rnacentral:lncRNA from 13 species
UCCCCAGUGCAACAGUGUUGGGUAGUGAGGCCUAAUAAGAAGUCACUCAAGUUUCCUCUUCAACUGCCUUCGCUACAGGUGCUGGGGAACAGGUCUUGGAAUUCCGUCCCUAUCCUGAAGACGGAGGUGUGGUCAGAAGAAGAGCCACAAGAACCAAUGGAGAUGGACGAUCAGACUAAGUCUCUCUCUGUCACCAGGCUGGAGCAGUGGCGCAAUCUCAGCUCAUUGCAACCUCUGCCUUCCGGGUUCAAGUGAUUCUCCUGCCUCAGCCUCCCAAGUAGCUGGGACUACAGGCAUGUGCCACCAUGCCCAGCAACAAAUCUUAUAAAGAAAAACCAACAGAGUAAAGGUAUGCUUCCACGAGCACCAACAUAAGCCCCAGAGAAUCACCAAUAAUGAAAUCUCAGCACCUGUAUGCUUAUUGCCAUGUGACAAUAGGAUUAGGAAGUCUGGAUGAAUGUGAAAUAUGACAGCAAAAUACACAUACACAUACACACACACACACACACACACACACACUCCUUAAACUGAAGGAACUGCAACAAAAAGUAUUUGGGAAACAAACCGAGAAAGGAAAACACCCAUCAAACUUCUUUGAACACGUGUUACUGCAAAUCAGGACCUGCAUAAUUACAGCAAUAGAUACUCCUUCCAUCAAUUAAAACCAAGGGGGUCUCCUUUGAAUCAAGCAUUCUUGAGGGGCUGCUGUGGGCUUACAUCAAAUAACCUUUUCAAAUUCACACAAUGUGGGUUUAUCUAGGCUAUCACUUAGAUUUAGUAGCAGUAUAGGGGAAUGUUAAGAGCCUCAAAUGUCAGAGACCCUCUGGGGGCUCCUGACAUUUUGGGUCAGCUCUGCCAAUUAUUAGCUGUAUGGCCUUCCGCAGUCGCUUAACCUAUUUAGGAGGAACACAUUUUGGUUCCUCAUCUGCAAAAAUGAGAACAACUGUAUCUGCCUCAGGAUGUCUGUGAGGCCUAUUGUGUGUCUGAAACAUAGUUAAGUAAUUUCACUACAAAGAAAACACUCAAUAGUAUCCAUCUUUGACUAUUCAAAACACAUCACUUUUCAGCCAAAGACCAAAAGCAAAUAACUGGAGUAGAAAACAAAAUAAACAAAAGCAGCAGGUCGAGUGACA